AAUGCGUAGAGAUCUGGAGGAAUACCGGUGGCGAAGGCGGCCCCCUGGACAAAGACUGACGCUCAGGUGCGAAAGCGUGGGGAGCAAACAGGAUUAGAUACCCUGGUAGUCCACGCCGUAAACGAUGUCGAUUUGGAGGUUGUGCCCUUGAGGCGUGGCUUCCGGAGCUAACGCGUUAAAUCGACCGCCUGGGGAGUACGGCCGCAAGGUUAAAACUCAAAUGAAUUGACGGGGGCCCGCACAAGCGGUGGAGCAUGUGGUUUAAUUCGAUGCAACGCGAAGAACCUUACCUGGUCUUGACAUCCACAGAACUUUCCAGAGAUGGAUUGGUGCCUUCGGGAACUGUGAGACAGGUGCUGCAUGGCUGUCGUCAGCUCGUGUUGUGAAAUGUUGGGUUAAGUCCCGCAACGAGCGCAACCCUUAUCCUUUGUUGCCAGCGGUU
rnacentral:rRNA from 1 species